CCGGCAAGUCCGCUAUUCACUCUUUCAUGGAAACUGGCAUUUCUUUUAUGUUUACGUCUUGGUAUGGCGACACCAACAAUUCGGGUAGUUAAUCCAGAUGCCCCUGCACAUCGUCAGCAGGCUCUACUUAUGGCAACCAAAGAGGCACGUUACUACCGGGUGAGAAGUAUGGUCUUCCCCAAACCUCCACAGGAGCUGCUCAGCCAAGUCACUGCCUUGACUCAUGCAGAGAAGCUUCUUCAAGCCGAGGGUAUCCACGUGCCUUCACGUCAGCAGUGCCUGGGAAAGCUGGUGGUGCCAUUUGGACAAUAUGAACAUGCACCGUUUCGGUGGCUCGUUGCAAACGACGUGGGAUAUAUGAAGUAGUGAGUGUACCAUAUAUUUAAUACCAUACUAUAGGCAGGUUUACUGAACUUCCAUUUACUGCACAUUUCCCCGUGUAAGGCUAUUAUCAGUAUAUCUUGUUCGUUGUAAACUUUCUUUAAGUGUGUAAUAUUCACGGAGAUAUUGCUGACAGUAUGUAUGAUUCCAGCAUACUUGACAGGCACAGAACAGAGGUGACAAAUCCACAAAGAAAGGGAGAGAUAGGGAACCAGUGGGUGAAGGAUUACCUCACAGAAUAUGCAGAAAGCUUCCCUCAAGUCUCCGUAGUCCUCGAGGCCAACAUUGACAGGUGCAUCUAUGGUCAGAAAGGGUUUGAAGAUCACACCUUUCAAGAGAUGUGGGAAUUAUAUUGUCAGUACAGCAGCCAAAAGGACAGACCUGAGAAGUUCAGUGAUGAGCAGAGGGAGGUCAUUCAGAAGGCACACAGUUCUGUGAAGAGGUGGUUGAACACACCAGUGACGCACAUCACAAGCACCCAAAUGAAGAGGUUCAGAAAAUAUAUAUAUGACAAGGAACAACAACGGCUGACAAGUACCCCCAGGUGUGAUCCUUCGUUGUGGCCAGGUGAUGAUGCUGAACUGAUAGCUGCAUCCCAGUCUGUGGAAGAUUCACUGAAGUCCCAACACUCCUUGUCUGCAAGUCAACCUUUAAAGCAACGGCUGACAAGCAGAGGUGUUUCCUCCUCCCAGACGUCUGGAACACAGGAGAACUCAGCUCCCCUGUCCAAGGAGUUUGCGAACACUGUACAGUCACCACAUCAAAAUAAAUCUACUGUGCAGCCCAAACAUCGUGAGUCCACAGAGGCUGCCAUACAGUCCAAAAAACUUGACACUGUUGGAUUCACCGAGUCAUCUGCAUCCCAGGGUCAUGAUCAUACAACACAAUUACCGUUGAGUCAUUCACCUGUGGAACUAGAGGGAUGGGUGCGUCCCUGGGAAAAUCCUAAUGGUAUCCCAUCUGCUGACAUUUCCUGGCUUAAAGAGGACACUAAAAGAGGGCUGUUUACCCCUGUUCAGACAUACAAGGAUGUUACUGGUGUGUUAAAGAGGCGACGGGUGAUUAAAUCAGAUCGCAUGUGGUUUUACCCACCAGAACCUCCUGGCUAUGUCAGGGGUGCUGUGCCCAGUGUACAGCUCUUUUUUCGCAGCCGUGUCUUUUUGUGGCGUCCUGUUGGGGUAUGGAAGUACUCCCUGAAGUGUCCUCGAGCUGACGAGUGUGUGGGUAAAGGACAAAAUGUGCACCUAUAUAAGUCUGGCUAUCACCACCGGGUA
ensembl:lncRNA